UUUUCUUUGGGUCUCGUUCUUUUCAUCGGAGACGCUGUCAGUGAAGGUUCGGUGAAGUCUUACAGGAAACUCUCUCACCUGACAUUUUUCGGCUCAUCAAUGCCCGAUGAAGAUCAUGAAGUCCAAGCUUCUUCAUAGCAUUAUGUGUACUUGAUACUGCCGUGGAAUUAAGGUUUUCAUGGACGGUUUGAUUGAGCUAUUUUGCUGUGGCUGUUUGGGGUGCAGUGGUUCUCCAGUAGAGAUGCGUUGGAAUGGAGCUUGUGCAGAUUUGUUGUUUAAUGAGUGUGUCCACCAGGGGGCAAGUUUCUGGUUUUAGCAAAUUGGCAACAUGGCAAGCUUAUGCCGCUGACGUCAUUUCUGUUACGGAUGCUGUGCUGUCAGUUACUGUGUUCGUGGUCAGUCAAUCAGUCAACUUUAACAUUGUUCUUCACAAAUAUCCUCAAGGUAUAUUAUACUAUAUUUCCAUCUUGCCACUUGUAGAUUCAUUAUCAAAAUUUGAAUGCUGAGGUUUUUAAAAACAGUGCGAGAACUUAAAGUUAAUUCCUUCAUUCUUUGGGUCUUGCCUGUGGUACACAUCUGUUAUUGUCAUUGGAAGGCUUUUCCCCGUAGGUUUGGUUGGCUAUUUGUUGUAUGGAUUAAAGGGUUCGUGAAGUGAGCUUUUUCAAGGCAGUCCACUUCGUUUGAUUUGUUGCGGCCAGCUGGUUAACGGUGUGGUGAGCUAUUGUAUUAAGACCGUGUGCUGUUGUGAAGAGCUUCUGCAUGCAGGCUGUGGUGCUGGUGGGGGAAGUGCUGCAUGCUGUCAACUGAGUGUAGUGCUAGCUUUAAAUUUGAUGAACUCACUGCUGUAACAAUUGAGUGUAAGAAUCAUUCAUUUUAUUAAUGUUUCCAAAGUCAGUUUGGGUUUAUUUUGGUGGCUUUAUUUGGUCUGCAGUUCAUGUUUGGGUGGUUUUGUUGCAGCCAGUUGUUGAAAUGGAGUUCCAUGUCAAAUUGAGCUGCAGGUUUUGGAAGCUAUCUACCUUGCUGGUGUCAUCCUGAAGUGGAACAGAAAUGCAGUCGUCUUGGCAUCUUGCAAUGGACUCAUGACGAUCUGAUGUAACUGCCUUGGUGAUAAUGAUGAUCAACCUGCUGUAUGCAGUCCAUGCUGCUGGUGUUCUCCAGAAAUAUUGAAGCAAGACUUGAAACAAAGCUGCAGGAAUAUUUGUAGGAAUGGAUUCUGAAAAUGUUCAGCGGUUUCGUACGCUGAUAUCUGUUCAAGAUUUUAUCCUGAAUUGCGCUGAAGUCCUUGCAGUAACUGAUUCCGGUACCAUCCUGAUGUUGCAGUGCCGAUGAAAUAUGAUUUGAUAAAAUUUAUCUGUAUUUGUGUUACAUCAUCUUUAUGUGGUAGAAGAUAUUGAUGAUCUUUACUUUUCAGAAUGAUGUGUUGCAACAAAAGUUUUAACUGUGGUAAUCCUAGAUGUUGUAACCACCUCAACCCUGAUUAGGUCGUAACGUAUUGUUUGUGUAUCAAAGUCAAACCUGCUAUCUUUAUUUUACUUGUAAACUUACUAUCGAAAUCUUUUUUUACAUAAUGUUAUGUUACAAUAAAUGAAAAAAAAUA